rnacentral:rRNA from 1 species
AGAGUUUGAUCCUGGCUCAGGACGAACGCUGGCGGCGUGCUUAACACAUGCAAGUCGAACGAGAUCCAUGAUGUAGCAAUACAUCGGAAGAUCUAGUGGCGAACGGGUGAGGAUCACGUGAGAAACCUGCCCCAGACUCUGGGAUAACAAUUGGAAACGAUUGCUAAUACCGGAUGACGUCGGAGAACCGCAUGGUUCACUGACGAAAGAUAUUUCGGUUUGGGAGGGUCUCGCGGCCUAUCAGCUUGUUGGUGGGGUAAUGGCCUACCAAGGCAACGACGGGUAGCUGGUCUGAGAGGAUGAUCAGCCACACUGGGACUGAGACACGGCCCAGACUCCUACGGGAGGCAGCAGUGGGGAAUCUUGCGCAAUGGGCGAAAGCCUGACGCAGCAACGCCGCGUGCGGGAUGAAGGCCUUCGGGCUGUAAACCGCUUUCAGCAGGAACGAAAAUGACGGUACCUGCAGAAGAAGGAGCGGCCAACUACGUGCCAGCAGCCGCGGUGACACGUAGGCUCCAAGCGUUGUCCGGAUUUAUUGGGCGUAAAGAGCUCGUAGGCGGUUUAGUAAGUCGGGUGUGAAAACUCUGGGCUUAACCCGGAGACGCCAUCCGAUACUGCUAUGACUUGAGUUCAGGAGGGGAGCGGGGAAUUCCUAGUGUAGCGGUGAAAUGCGCAGAUAUUAGGAGGAACACCGGUGGCGAAGGCGCCGCUCUGGACUGAAACUGACGCUGAGGAGCGAAAGCAUGGGUAGCAAACAGGAUUAGAUACCCUGGUAGUCCAUGCCGUAAACGGUGGGCACUAGGUGUGGGUUCCAACUAA